CAGUCGCCACGGUAAUACGUAGGUGGCAAGCGUUGUCCGGAAUUAUUGGGCGUAAAGGGCUCGCAGGCGGUUUCUUAAGUCUGAUGUGAAAGCCCCCGGCUCAACCGGGGAGGGUCAUUGGAAACUGGGAAACUUGAGUGCAGAAGAGGAGAGUGGAAUUCCACGUGUAGCGGUGAAAUGCGUAGAGGUGUGGAGGAACACCAGUGGCGAAGGCGACUCUCUGGUCUGUAACUGACGCUGAGGAGCGAAAGCGUGGGGAGCAAACAGGAUUAGAUACCCCCGUAGUCCCUGUCUCUUAUAC
rnacentral:rRNA from 1 species